rnacentral:rRNA from 1 species
AUUGAACGCUGGCGGCAGGCCUAACACAUGCAAGUCGAGCGGAUGAAGGGAGCUUGCUCCUGGAUUCAGCGGCGGACGGGUGAGUAAUGCCUAGGAAUCUGCCUGGUAGUGGGGGAUAACGUCCGGAAACGGGCGCUAAUACCGCAUACGUCCUGAGGGAGAAAGUGGGGGAUCUUCGGACCUCACGCUAUCAGAUGAGCCUAGGUCGGAUUAGCUAGUUGGUGGGGUAAAGGCCUACCAAGGCGACGAUCCGUAACUGGUCUGAGAGGAUGAUCAGUCACACUGGAACUGAGACACGGUCCAUACUCCUACGGGAGGCAGCAGUGGGGAAUAUUGGACAAUGGGCGAAAGCCUGAUCCAGCCAUGCCGCGUGUGUGAAGAAGGUCUUCGGAUUGUAAAGCACGUUAAGUUGGGAGGAAGGGCAGUAAGUUAAUACCUUGCUGUUUUGACGUUACCAACAGAAUAAGCACCGGCUAACUACGUG